GACGAACGCUGGCGGCGCGCCUAACACAUGCAAGUCGAACGAGCGAGAGAGAGCUUGCUUUCUCGAGCGAGUGGCGAACGGGUGAGUAACGCGUGAGGAACCUGCCUCAAAGAGGGGGACAACAGUUGGAAACGACUGCUAAUACCGCAUAAGCCCAUGACCCGGCAUCGGGUAGAGGGAAAAGGAGCAAUCCGCUUUGAGAUGGCCUCGCGUCCGAUUAGCUAGUUGGUGAGGUAACGGCCCACCAAGGCGACGAUCGGUAGCCGGACUGAGAGGUUGAACGGCCACAUUGGGACUGAGACACGGCCCAGACUCCUACGGGAGGCAGCAGUGGGGAAUAUUGCACAAUGGGGGAAACCCUGAUGCAGCGACGCCGCGUGGAGGAAGAAGGUCUUCGGAUUGUAAACUCCUGUUGU
rnacentral:rRNA from 1 species